AUACUUACAUUGGCAGGGGAGCUAACAUGAUCAAAGGUGGUCACCCAGGGCGAGGCUUAACCAUUGCAACUCCGGUAUGCUGAACCCUGAAUUCCCCAAAUGUGGAAUCUCGACUGAAUUAAAUUUGGUGGGGUAGUGGGGGACUGCGUUAGCGCUCUCCCCGG